rnacentral:lncRNA from 1 species
AGAUGAAUUACCUCACAGGAUUGCUGGUCAAAGACACUCGGAGAGACUCCAGGCAUGUGACAAGUCUCUCAUCUGCAGACCCCAUUUUCAGCUCAUGAAUGAAUUCCUGAGUUCACCAUCCAACGGCAGGAAAUGAAUUGUGUAAGUUCAAAAGAAGAUCAGGUGAAGUGGUAGGAAAUUAGGUGUUUUUCAUGUUUUUUGUUUAUAUUAAUUUACUAUAAUGUUAUUCAAAAAAACAUUCCCAAUAAAGCAAAACAAAUUAGCACUGUAAAGACGGGUUAUUUUUAUUCA